rnacentral:rRNA from 1 species
GUGAGGAAUAUUGGUCAAUGGGCGGGAGCCUGAACCAGCCAAGUCGCGUGAAGGAAGAAGGAUCUAUGGUUCGUAAACUUCUUUUGCAGGGGAAUAAAGUGCAGGACGUGUCCUGUUUUGUAUGUACCCUGAGAAUAAGGAUCGGCUAACUCCGUGCCAGCAGCCGCGGUAAUACGGAGGAUCCGAGCGUUAUCCGGAUUUAUUGGGUUUAAAGGGUGCGUAGGUGGUUUGAUAAGUCAGCGGUGAAAGGUUGCAGCUUAACUGUAAAAAUGCCGUUGAAACUGUCGGACUUGAGUGUAAAUGAGGUAGGCGGAAUGCGUGGUGUAGCGGUGAAAUGCAUAGAUAUCACGCAGAACUCCGAUUGCGAAGGCAGCUUACUAAGCUACAACUGACACUGAAGCACGAAAGCGUGGGGAUCAAACAGGAUUAGAUACCCGGGUAGUCC